CGGAUGUACCCAACUUGAUCAAGGCAUG
rnacentral:tRNA from 1 species